rnacentral:rRNA from 1 species
GCAUAUCAAUAAGCGGAGGAAAAGAAACCAACCGGGAUUGCCUUAGUAACGGCGAGUGAAGCGGCAAAAGCUCAAAUUUGAAAACUGGUACCUUCGGUGCCCGAGUUGUAAUUUGGAGAGGGCAACUUUGGGGCCGUUCCUUGUCUAUGUUCCUUGGAACAGGACGUCAUAGAGGGUGAGAAUCCCGUGUGGCGAGGAGUGCGGUUCUUUGUAAAGUGCCUUCGAAGAGUCGAGUUGUUUGGGAAUGCAGCUCUAAGUGGGUGGUAAAUUCCAUCUAAAGCUAAAUAUUGGCGAGAGACCGAUAGCGAACAAGUACAGUGAUGGAAAGAUGAAAAGAACUUUGAAAAGAGAGUGAAAAAGUACGUGAAAUUGUUGAAAGGGAAGGGCAUUUGAUCAGACAUGGUGUUUUGUGCCCUCUGCUCCUUGUGGGUAGGGGAAUCUCGCAUUUCACUGGGCCAGCAUCAGAUUUGGUGGCAGGAUAAAUCCAUAGGAAUGUAGCUUGCCUCGGUAAGUAUUAUAGCCUGUGGGAAUACUGCCAGCUGGGACUGAGGACUGCGACGUAAGUCAAGGAUGCUGGCAUAAUGGUUAUAUGCCGCCCGUCUUGAAACACGGACC